GACUUACCUGCUGUUCACCUGAGGAAAGGUGGCUGGAUGAUCCUUGUUACAUUAAGUGGCGCCUCGGUCCUGCUUUGACCAGCUGCAGGUUCUCCUCACCGUUCCAAAGUUUGAAGCCAGAGCUUCAGGAGCUGCAUGCUGACCUGCAGUCCCCCCCUCUGAUCAUCCCACUGCUUGCUUCCACCUGUCUGUAUGGGAGUCUGGAAGCCUGCUGACAUCCUGACCUGCAGUCCCACCCUCCGACCACCUCAGUGUCUGCUGUCUAUCUGCUUAUAUAGUCAUCCCUGUAGUGCACCAGCUAGCCAUUAUGUCUGUGUCUCUCCUUUUCUCUAUUCUUCAUUCUCUCUUUGAUCUCUCUCGUCCUGCUCUGCCCAGUCUGGCCUCCGGCAGGAGGGUCCCCCCUUAUGAUCCAGGUCCUGCUCAAGGUUUCUUCCCUCCAAAAGGGCAGUUUUUCCUUACCACUAUUUGUUAUGUUUAUAUAAUAAUUGCUCGGGGGUCAUGUUCUGGGACUCUGAGCACCUAGAGAAAAUUUCCUUUGUAAUAAACGCUAUAUAAAUAAAAUUGAAUUGAAUAUAACAAUGUCACCAGGAGACUGAGGCCCUGUACAGGCUCUUGGUAAAUGCAUCCAGAACAUUAAUGACUGGAUGUGCCACAACGUUCUUAAACAAAAGCAAAACUGAGGAAAUUGUCUUUGGAGCCGAAGAGAAACGAUUACAGGUCACCACAGAGUUCCAAUACAAACACCUAAAAACUACCAACCAGGCCAUAAAUCUGGGUGCAAUGAUGGAUUCGCACCUAAAUUUGGAAAAACACAUGAAGACAAUAACAAAGUCAGCCUACUACCACCUUAAGAAUAUAUCAAGGUUAAAAGAUCAGAUGUCUCAGCAGGACCUGGACAAACCAGUUAUUAGAUUAUUGUAACAGCAUAUUUACAGGUCCAUCUUAAAAGAUGAGUUAGAUCUCUGCUGCUCAAGUCCUCAC